rnacentral:piRNA from 1 species
UAAAAAAGAAUCUUCAUGGAGCUUGGAAGC